rnacentral:sRNA from 1 species
CGGUUUGGAAGUACAGGCCUAUUUAUGCUAGUCAGUUUAAAGUUGUUCACCAUUUAGCGUUAUCUAAGAUAUCCCUUCAUUGCGAAUUCCUUAUAAUUAAUUCCCAUAAGUAAAAAUAAAAAUCAAACCUCAUCUAUGCCUUAUGGCAAUCAAAAAAUUAAAGGAAAUUCUAUGUCUAAUACAAUGACAGGUUUAGUAAAGUGGUUUAACGAAUCUAAAGGUUUUGGUUUCAUCUCUCCUGAAGAUGGGAGCAAAGAUGUAUUUGUUCACUUCUCCGCGAUUCAAAGCGAUGAUUUCAAAACAUUAUAUGAUGGACAAAAAGUCAGCUUUUCGGUAGAAAAUGGCGCAAAAGGUCCAGCGGCUGCUAAUGUGGUGGCACUUUAAGACAACAUUAA